rnacentral:rRNA from 1 species
UCUUCUUGUAUGAAUUGGAGGUUGGGCCUGUCCACUGAUUUUUUUAAAGGGCCGCGGUAUUUUGACCGUGCAAAGGUAGCAUAAUCAUUAGUCUUUUAAUUGAAGGCUGGAAUGAAUGGUUUGACGAAAUAAUAACUGUCUACUAAUUAAUAUUGAUUUGAAUUUUAUUUUUAAGUUAAAAGGCUUAAAUGAUGAAGAGGGACGAGAAGACCCUAUAGAUCUUUAUAGUUAUUUUUGUGGAGUUGAUUUUAGUUGUGGAAUUUUUGCUUUAUGAAAAUAAAUUAUUUUAUUGGGGUGAUAUGAGAAUAUUUAAACUUCUUAAUUUUUAACAUUGAUUGAUGGAUAAGGGAUCCUAUAUUAUGGAAUAAAGAUUAAGAUACCUUAGGGAUAACAGCGUAAUUUUGUUGGAAAGUUCUUAUUGAUAAUGGAGAUUGCGACCUCGAUGUUGGAUUAAAAAUAUGUAUUGGUGUAGGUGCUAAUUAUAAUUGGUCUGUUC